GUGUCGUAGUCGAGUGGUUUAAGCACUGUUUUUGGAAUACAAAGGUCGUGGGUUCGAUUCCAACACGACACG
rnacentral:tRNA from 1 species